rnacentral:tRNA from 1 species
UUAAAAUAGUUUAAUUUAAAAUAGUGAUUUGUGGGGUCAAAGAUUUAUAAAUUUUAAUUU